rnacentral:rRNA from 1 species
AGUGAACGCUGGCGGCAGGCCUAACACAUGCAAGUCGAACGGCAGCACAGCAGUAGCAAUACUGUGGGUGGCGAGUGGCGGACGGGUGAGGAAUACAUCGGAAUCUGCCUAGUCGUGGGGGAUAACGUAGGGAAACUUACGCUAAUACCGCAUACGACCUACGGGUGAAAGCGGGGGAUCGCAAGACCUCGCGCGAUUAGAUGAGCCGAUGUCCGAUUAGCUAGUUGGCGGGGUAAUGGCCCACCAAGGCGACGAUCGGUAGCUGGUCUGAGAGGAUGAUCAGCCACACUGGAACUGAGACACGGUCCAGGCUCCUACGGGAGGCAGCAGUGGGGAAUAUUGGACAAUGGGCGCAAGCCUGAUCCAGCCAUGCGCGUGGUGAGAA